rnacentral:rRNA from 1 species
GAGACGACGCCGCGUGGAGGAUGAAGGGCUUCGGCUUGUAAACUCCUGUCACCGACGAACAAGGCAUCCGGUUGAACAUUCCGGGUGAUUGAUGGUAGUCGGAGAGGAAGGGGCGGCUAACUCUGUGCCAGCAGCCGCGGUGAUACAGAGGCCCCGAGCGUUGUUCGGAUUUACUGGGCGUAAAGGGUGUGUAGGGGGUCGGGUAAGUUUGACGUGAAAGCCCGCUGCUUAACAGCGGAACGGCGUCGAAUACUGCCCGGCUGGAGGUUCGGAGAUGAGAGCGGAAUUCUCGGUGUAGCGGUGAAAUGCGUAGAUAUCGAGAGGAACGCCGACGGCGAAAGCAGCUCUCAAGACGACACCUGACCCUGAGACACGAAGGCCAGGGGAGCAAACGGGAUUAGAUACCCCGGUAGUCCUGGCAGUAAACGGUGCUCAUUAGACGUGGGCGGAUUCGACCCCGCCCGUGUCGAACCUAACGGAUUAAAUGAGCCGCCUGGGAAGUACGGUCGCAAGAUUAAAACUCAAAGAAAUUGACGGGGGCCCGCACAAGCGGUGGAGUAUGUGGCUUAAUUCGAUGCAACGCGAAGAACCUUACCUGGCCUUGACAUGCUGAGUUCAGGCGUGGAAACACGCUGGCCCGCAAGGGCGAUCUGCACAGGUGCUGCAUGGCUGUCGUCAGCUCGUGUCGUGAGAUGUUGGGUUAAGUCCCGCAACGAGCGCAACCCUCGUGACUAGUUAAUCCCGGGCAACCGGAUUCUGGUCAGACUGCCCUGUGAAACGGGGAGGAAGGUGGGGGACGACGUCAAGUCCGUA